UACGUAGGGUGCAAGCGUUGUCCGGAAUUAUUGGGCGUAAAGAGCUCGUAGGCGGUUUGUUGCGUCGGCUGUGAAAAUCCCGAGGCUCAACCUCGGGUCUGCAGUCGAUACGAGCAAACUAGAGUGUUGCAGGGGAGACUGGAAUUCCUGGUGUAGCGGUGAAAUGCGCAGAUAUCAGGAGGAACACCAACGGCGAAGGCAGCUCGCUAGGACGGUACUGACGCUGAGACGCGAAAGCGUGGGAGCGA
rnacentral:rRNA from 1 species